UACCGAGAGAAUAUGCAAGU
rnacentral:misc_RNA from 1 species